AGAAGACAGCAAGAGGACGACAAAGGUGGCGAGAUGAUGGGAGUGGGAUUCCAGCGGUGGGACGACAAGCUGCAGAGCAGUCCUUUUUUGCUGAGAACUUCAGAGACCUGCAGAGAGGUCAGAAUGACUUUCUUGCAGAGAUGAGUCACUUUCUCCAGGGAGGUCUCUUUGCUAAGACGCUGAACACUGGACUGGAUGACCGGCCUACAGAGAGGAACUACCCAUUUCUAGAGACUUGAAGAGUGAGGAAGACUAAGAGGCUGCUGCCAUUUGAAGAUGAAGUGUACAAUACAACAGGGAAUCAAGUGAACAGAAAGUGUUGAUGGGGAUCCCAGCAGAUAGCCAACAAAAGGGAACCUCACUUCUACAGCAGCAAGGAACUGCAUUCUGCCAAAAACCUAAUGAACUUGGAAGCAGAUUAUUUUCUGGAGUCUGUAGAGAGAUGAGCAGGAAGAGGGAUAUUAGAAGAGAGAAAGUGAAAACUGGACUGAAACAUUGCUAGCUGGGGAUCUUAGCCUCUCUUUAGGCAACUCACUCCUGGUCCUGUUCUCUGCACAUGUGGGAAUUAUAAUGAGCACCAAGCAGAAUGAAUGAAAAUAAAUCCAGACCAAGAACCACUGAAGAAACUGCAACCCACAAGAGAAAACUAGCCAGAGUAUCUGCACAGGAAGGACAAGGAGACUUCUCUUUAUAAUAACAGAACCCAGAAGACGACCUACAAGGUUCUGCCCACAGGGGAGAUUGUGACCUAUUGCUGGCCCCAACACCAAGUCGAAGUUACACAUUUGCCUUGGCCUUG
rnacentral:lncRNA from 10 species